UACGGGGGGGGCAAGCGUUGUUCGGAAUUACUGGGCGUAAAGGGUGCGUAGGUGGCUAGGUAAGUCGGAUGUGAAAUCCCGGGGCUCAACCCCGGAACUGCAUUCGAUACUGCCUGGCUAGAGUACUGGAGAGGAGAUUGGAAUUUACGGUGUAGCAGUGAAAUGCGUAGAUAUCGUAAGGAAGACCAGUGGCGAAGGCGGAUCUCUGGACAGUUACUGACACUGAGGCACGAAGGCCAGGGGAGCAAACGGG
rnacentral:rRNA from 1 species